AUCCAGCAUCAAGAGUUGGGGCGACGCCCAACGCCAACCUGCCGUUCCGGGCAAGGUGGUACUCCGCAAGGAGGAUGUGGCCGUCCCGGCAAGCAAACGGACACGC
rnacentral:ncRNA from 2 species